AUACGGAGGGUCCGAGCGUUAUCCGGAAUCAUUGGGUUUAAAGGGUCCGUAGGCGGGAAUCUAAGUCAGUGGUGAAAUCUUGCAGCUCAACUGUAAAACUGCCAUUGAUACUGGAUUUCUUGAAUUAGUGUGAAGUGGUUAGAAUGUGUAGUGUAGCGGUGAAAUGCAUAGAUAUUACACAGAAUACCAAUUGCGAAGGCAGAUCACUAACACUAUAUUGACGCUACGGGACGAAAGCGUGGGGAGCGAACAGGAUUAGAAACCCUAGUAGUCC
rnacentral:rRNA from 1 species